GACGAACGCUGGCGGCGUGCUUAACACAUGCAAGUCGAACGGAAAGGCCCUGCUUUUGUGGGGUGCUCGAGUGGCGAACGGGUGAGUAACACGUGAGUAACCUGCCCUUGACUUUGGGAUAACUUCAGGAAACUGGGGCUAAUACCGGAUAGGAGCUCCUGCUGCAUGGUGGGGGUUGGAAAGUUUCGGCGGUUGGGGAUGGACUCGCGGCUUAUCAGCUUGUUGGUGGGGUAGUGGCUUACCAAGGCUUUGACGGGUAGCCGGCCUGAGAGGGUGACCGGCCACAUUGGGACUGAGAUACGGACCAGACGCCUACGGGAGGCAGCAGUGGGGAAUAUUGCACAAUGGGCGGAAGCGUGAUGCAGCAACGCCGCGUGCGGGAUGACGGCCUUCGGGUUGUAAACCGCUUUCGCCUGUGACGAAGCGUGAGUGACAUUAAUGGGUAAAGAAGCACCGGCUAACUACGUG
rnacentral:rRNA from 1 species